rnacentral:misc_RNA from 1 species
ACAAGCUAGGGUCCUUGUUAUCAUCAUACUGACGACAGAUGCAACAUGAACACCUUCUACAAAAAGCAUCUUCGGGACUCAGAGUCGCUCGACAAGCCAAGUUUUUGCAGCAAGCCAUAUGACCCAAAUCAUUAUGGGAACUACUGGUUGGAAAGUCAUUUGCAGGAACAGAAAGUUGAGCUAGAUGCUCAGAUUUCCUCUGCCUUUUGGUAUUUUUAUGGCCACCUGCAGG